CAUCUUAGGUCUCCGCAACGGGUAAAUGACCCCUGGUUCCAGGAAGACUGACCAAAGGUUUCGAAAACAACAGGCCAUACCAAAGACCAAUCAGGAAUAGGAUAGCUUAACGGUGUAAUAAAUCAUGCCAGAAAAACAGGAACAUAGGGCCAGUAGUUGUGGCCCAAUCACCUACUGCCGAGUCCACCCCUACUCUGCCUUUAGAAACUCUUACUAUAAUCUGGUUCCGGGUCCAAGUCCCUACUCCACUGCGUCGGGUAUGCUUGGACCCAAGCUUAAGCUUGCUGAAUAAACCCUCAUGUGAUUGCAUCGGUGUUGGCUCCUUGGUGGUCUCUCGGGUAUGAAACUUGGGCACAACAUUUGGAGGUUCCACCGAGAUCUGAGAGACCCCCAGGACCCCGACCCGGAGGAUCCUGUGCCGGCUGGUGUGUCCUAAGCUGAGGGCCCUCUACGAGACUGGGCCACCCCCAGACCCUCAUCGAUAUCGACCAGGUGACUGGGUGUACGUCCGGAGACACCAACACCAGACACUUCAACUGCACUGGAAGGGACCCUACAUUGUGAUCCUGACCACUCCCACCACUCUCAAGGUCGACAGGAUUACUCCCUGGGUCCACUACACCCACGUCUGGCCAGCUGAACCACACGUUGUUCUCAAGGACUUUGUUCCAGAAUGGAAAAGUCAGCCCAACAAGGACAAUCCCCUAAAGCUAAGACGGCACCGUUCUCACUUACCCUCUCACACCAGGGCCAAUCCCCACCAGCCACUUAACCUAACAUGGCAGGUAAUAUGUGUUUCUACAGCAGAAGUUGUAUAUUCCCUUUCAAAAAUUGCCCCACAACAGGCUUGGUUCCCUGACCUUACUCUUGACCUAACAAAAAUACUUGGGAAUACCCAUCUCCACGGAUUGAGAAGCCAACUGUACAAACGGUAUUUUUAUGUUUGCCCGGGACACCUUACAGGAAACCGGGCAAGACACUGUGGGGGCCCCUCUCACUUUUACUGUGCCAGCUGGAGCUGUGUCUCCACUGGCGAAAUUUGGUGGACGGCCCCCUACAAAGAUGAUUUAAUUACUCUUAAAAGAUACCGCACAUCGCAGAGCUCUGAAACCGGUAAUCUGAUCACCCUAAAAUUCACAGAAGCCGGCAAACUAGAUACAAGAUGGCAGGUAGGACUUACUUGGGGCUUAAGAAUCUAUGACGUAGUAAGACUUGGUUAUCAGGACCCGGGUACACUAUUCACCUUGAGACUCUUGGCCCAGAAUUACCAGGUUAACCUAGGCCCAAACCCUGUAUUAGCACCAUCCAAAACUCAGAUAACUCCUAUCCCCCCUCCACCACCCUCCCCAAUACCCACCAUACCAUCUGCAUCCAAUAACACCUCUAAUGUAGAUAUGAUUACUCCCGUCCCGACCCCCUUCCCACAAGAUCCUCCUUCUCCUCCUUACCUUCGGGCCCUGCAUUAUCAAUAGAUUUGUCAAAGGCAAAUUUGUCUAGAUCAAUAGAUUUGUCAAAGACAGAGUUGGUACAGUUCAACUCAUGGUACGCAGACAGCAAUACCAACCACUGGACCUUGUUACUGAGACCAGCUUGGACCCAUGAUUGGGUCCUUCCUUAGGUUCCUUUGAGAGGGGGAAAUGUGGAGGCCAAGAAAAACAAGGCUGUACCCACCUCAAGUCUAGCCUCGACAUAAGUGCAGCCAUCUUGGCCCCGGCAGCCAUCUUAGGUCUCCAUGACCGGUAAAUGACUCCUGGUUCCAGGAAGACUGACCAAAGUUUUCGAAGACAACAGGCCAUACCAAAGACCAGUCAGGAAUAGGAUAGCUUAACAUUGUAAUAAAUCAUGCCAGAAAAACAGGAACAUAGGGCCAGCAGCCAUGGUCCAAUCACUUACUGCCGAGUCCACCCCUACUCUGUCUUUAAAAAUUCUGACUGUAAUCUGGUUCGGGGUCCAAGUCCCUACUCCGCUGUGUCGGGUAUGCUUGAACCCAAGCUUAAGCUUGCUGAAUAAACCCUCUUGUGAUUGCGUCGGUGUUGGCUCCUUGGUGGUCUCUCGGGUACGAAACUUGGGCACAACAUGCUAACUUGUACUCUUACCAGCAAAUAUGAGAGUGCCUUUUUGUCCACACCAUCCUGUCAAAAUUGCACUUAAGAUUUAAGUUCCAAGUUGAAGCAGAAGAUUCCAAGCCCACCAAGAAUUUCUGUGUCAUUCACAUCUGCCUUAUUUUCUCUGGUUUUCUUUGUUUGGAUUUGAGAUCUGCCCAGUCAGGACCCACUUUUGGAAACUGGAAAGUUGAUCUAGACUAAAAGCAUCCUCUGUAACAUUUUAUUCCAGUUAAUAGAAAAAGUUAGAAACAUCUCACUCCCAUUCUGUUCUCAUUACUCUAAGUUCUUAUAUUCUGGCUACUCAGCAUUGAUUUAAGUUCUGAUUCUGACAGUGUUUCAUUGGUGAAAUUGAACUCCAGUUCCCAUCACAGAAGAUUCAAAUUGUGCCUGAUCAGCCUCUAGACACCUGAGCCAAGAGACAGAUUUGCAGUAAUAUGAUUAGGGUUAGAGGUAACAAACAUAA